rnacentral:rRNA from 1 species
GUAGUCCACGCCGUAAACGAUGAGUACUAGGCUUUGUGGGUCUUGACCCCUGCAGAGCCGCAGCUAACGCAAUAAGUACUCCGCCUGGGAAGUACGGUCGCAAGACUAAAACUCAAAGGAAUUGACGGGGGCCCGCACAAGCGGUGGAUCAUGUGGUUUAAUUCGAAGCAACGCGCAGAACCUUACCUGGAUUUGACAUCCUCAGACCGCUAGAGAGAUCUAGUUUUCGUAGCAAUACGACUGAGUGACAGGUGCUGCAUGGCUGUCGUCAGCUCGUGUGGUGACAUGUUGGGUUAAGUCCCGCAACGAGCGCAACCCUUGUCUUUAGUUGCCAGCAUUCAGUUGGGCACUCUAAAGAGACUGCCGUGGUUAACACGGA